UACGGAGGGUGCGAGCGUUGUCCGGAAUCACUGGGCGUAAAGGGCGCGUAGGCGGCGCGGUGAGUCCACGGUGAAAGCUCGGCGCUCAACGCCGAGUCGGCCGUCGAUACUCCCGUGCUCGAGCACUGUAGAGGCAGGUGGAAUUCCGGGUGUAGCGGUGGAAUGCGUAGAGAUCCGGAAGAACACCGGUGGCGAAGGCGGCCUGCUGGGCAGUAGCUGACGCUGAGGCGCGACAGCGUGGGGAGCAAACAGG
rnacentral:rRNA from 1 species